CUGGAAUGAAUGUGGCGUGUAUGAACUUCUCCCAUGGAACUCACGAGUACCAUGCUGAGACCAUCAAGAACGUGCGCACGGCCACGGAAAGCUUUGCUUCAGACCCCAUCCUCUACCGGCCAGUGGCUGUGGCUCUGGACACAAGGCCCUGAGAUCUGAACAGGACUCAUCAAGGGCAGUGGCACCGCGGAGGUGGAGCUUAAGAAGGGUGCCACGCUCAAGAUCACAUUGGACAAUGCCUACAUGGACAAGUGCGAUGAGAACAUCUGCAAGGUGGUGGAUGAUGGCCUCAUCUCCCUGCAAGUGAAGCAGAAAGGUCCUGACUUCCUGGUGACGGAGGUGGAGAACGGUGGUUUCCUGGGCAGCAAGAAGGGUGUGAACCUGCCUGGGGCCGCUGUGGACCUGCCUGCAGUGUCGGAAAAGGAUAUCCAGGACCUUAAGUUCGGGGUGGAACAGGACGUGGACAUGGUGUUUGCUUCUUUCAUCCGCAAGGCAGCUGACGUGCAUGAAGUCAGGAAGGUUCUGGGUGAGAAAGGGAAAAACAUCAAGAUCAUCAGCAAAAUUGAGAACCAUGAAGGCGUGCGCAGGUUUGACGAGAUCUAGGAGGCCAGUGACGGCAUCAUGGUGGCUCGUGGUGAUCUUGGCAUUGAGAUUCCUGCAGAAAAGGUCUUCCUUGCCCCGAAGAUGAUGAUCGGACGUUGCAACCGUGCAGGGAAGCCAGUCAUCUGUGCCACACAGAUGUUGGAGAACAUGAUCAAGAAGCCCCGCCCCACUCGCGCGCAGGGCAGUGACGUGGCCAAUGUGGUCCUAGAUGGAGCUGACUGUAUCAUGCUGUCCGGAGAGACCGCCAAGGGUGACUACCCCCUGGAGGUGGUCCGCAUGCAGCACCUGAUAGCUGGUGAGGCUGAGGCAGCCAUGUUCCACUGCAAGCUGUUCGAAGAACUUGUGCAAGCCUCCAGUCACUCCACAGACCUCAUGGAAGCCAUGGCCAUGGGCAGCGUGGAGGCUUCUUAUAAGUGUUUAGCAGCAGCUUUGAUAGUUCUGACGGAGUCUGGCAGGUCUGCUCACCAAGUGGCCAGGUACCGCCCACGCGCCCCCAUCAUUGCCAUGACACGGAAUCAUCAGACGGCCCGUCAGGCCCACCUCUACCGCGGUAUCUUCCCCGUGGUGUGUAAGGACCCUGUCCAACAGGCCUGGGCUAAGGAUGUCGACCUUCGGGUGAACUUGGCCAUGAAUGUUGGCAAGGCCCGUGGCUUCUUCAAGACUGGAGAUGUGGUCAUUGUGCUGACCGGCUGGCGCCCUGGCUCCGGCUUCACCAACACCAUGUGCGUGGUGCCAGUGCCAUGAAAGCCUGCAGCCGUUCCUCCAGCCACUGUCCCGUCCCGUCCCCCCUACCCAUCCAUUAGGCCAGCAAUGCUUGUAGUGCUCCCUGGGGCCUGUAGUAUGGCACUGGUGGGCUGGGACGUCGGUGGAAGAGCUGGAAGAUGACUGGGCACGCCAGAACUCUGCUGCUCAUCAUGUGGCUCUGCCCAUGGCCCCACGCGUUGCACUGUGUGGUUCCUAUAGAAUGCAUCCCCAGGACAACUCCCAAUCCUGGCCUGGGGUCAUGCACAGACAGCAGGGCCUUAAGGGAAGCUGCAGAUCCGGUUUUGGCAGGUCUGGGCCCCUGACUCCCCCCACUCCCAAGUUGUGUGCAUUGUGCUCACCUGCGUUCCCUUCCCCACUCAGCUGACGCCGCCAACAAACACUCCAUCAGCACCUUCCACUUCCCCCACGAGCACGGCCCAUCCAGGCCUGUUGCUGCAGAGCCUGCCUGUGUGUCAAUAAACAGCGGCUGAA